GACGAUCACCAAGAAACCAUUAGUGUCGCCCCUUCUCUCCCUUUCCAGCAAAACACAACCAAUUUUCCCCCUUUUCAUUGAUCCUUUUUGCACUACCUCGUCGGAGGUCGUGGCCGGUGAGAUUUAGCCAUACCACCACCAUACGCUACCCAACACCGUUAAAAUAGUCGCACCACCUCAAACCACCACCUUCUCUUUCUUAUCACUAUUUCGGC
rnacentral:lncRNA from 1 species